rnacentral:lncRNA from 1 species
ACCCAGUGGUUGUUCAGGAGCAUAUGGUUUAAUUUCCGUGUAUUUGUACAGUUUUCAGAGUUCCUCUUGUUAUUAAUUUGUUGUUUUACUCCAUUGUGGUCUGAGAAGAUAUUUGAUAUAAUUCUUAUUUUGUAAAAAAUGUGUUGUGGCCCAACAUGUCCCCACUGGGGGUAUGUUAAUUUAUUUUAGCUAAGCAGUUAUGUUAUUAGAAGCUGAGGGGUUGGGGGUUGUUAAAGUAACAGGAAAGAAGAAAGGUGGAUUUAAGAUAUGAGCUUAAUAGAGUGUAGUAGGUAUAGGUAGUAGGCAAAGUGAGAGAAUUAAAAAUGAAUGAAUUAUUUGGCUUAGUCUUCGCUUCUUCAGCACAAUGUCUGGGGCCUGUGUUGUUUGUGGAAGCCGCAUUUUUGAGGCUACAGUUCCUGUAGGAUCUUUCUUAGGCUGGCUCGAAUUUUUUCUUCUUUCCAUCCUUUGAUGAGGAUGUAGUCUUCAGGCUGGUACUGGAAAUUCUAGGAGUGGUGCCUGUGCUGAGAGACUUUUUACA